CACCAAUUGGUGAAUUACUUUACAUUUACAUCUAGAGAAUCCAAAAUCUAUAUAUAUAUAUAUAUAUAAAUAUCUACAACUUAUUAUACUACUAUAAAAUGUCUAAAAAUAUUUUGGGCUUAUCUAUUUGAGUUGCAGUAACUAACGUUAGCUGGGAAAAAACUGUUUUUGAACCGAUUUGUGUUACAUUUAAAAAUGUCGAGAUUUUCACUGUUUCGAAGUUUCCGGCCAUGUUUCUGAAAUCUGGUUUCUGGUAUGAGAUACGACAGACGAUCACCACUAGUCGACUUAAUUUGUUUAAAAAGUUUUUGAGAUAAUUGUUGUCUAUUUUCCGCUAAUGACAGACAACCAGACAUUGAAAGUGCAUCAUUAUACGAUUGAAAUGGAUAUAUAAUUCGGAAAGCUCUUCGUUGAAUUUUCUCAAUUUUAUCAGACAAGUACGUCGGAAGACUCGAGUGCCAGACUGGGCAACCAUAUUGUAGGAUUGAUCUGACUAAUGUUUUGAAGAUUGUUAUUAGAUCAUCAACAGGAAGUCCAUUACGCUUUAAGACACGUAUGAUAUAUAACCGUUUAGCAGCUUUCUUUGUA